GACGAACGCUGGCGGCGUGCCUAAUACAUGCAAGUAGAACGCACAGUUUAUACCAUAGCUUGCUACACCAUAGACUGUGAGUUGCGAACGGGUGAGUAACGCGUAGGUAACCUGCCUGGUAGCGGGGGAUAACUAUUGGAAACGAUAGCUAAUACCGCAUAAUAUUAAUUAUUGCAUGAUAAUUAAUUGAAAGGUGCAAUUGCACCACUACCAGAUGGACCGGCGUUGUAUUAGCUAGUAGGUGAGGUAACGGCUCACCUAGGCGACGAUACAUAGCCGACCUGAGAGGGUGAUCGGCCACACUGGGACUGAGACACGGCCCAGACUCCUACGGGAGGCAGCAGUAGGGAAUCUUCGGCAAUGGACGAAAGUCUGACCGAGCAACGCCGCGUGAGUGAAGAAGGUUUUCGGAUCGUAAAGCUCUGUUGUAAGAGAAGAACGGGUGUGAGAGUGGAAAGUUCACACUGUGACGGUAUCUUACCAGAAAGGGACGGCUAACUACGUG
rnacentral:rRNA from 1 species